rnacentral:rRNA from 1 species
GACGAACGCUGGCGGCGUGCUUAACACAUGCAAGUCGAACGGAAAGGCGCUGCGCUUGCUGGGUGCUCGAGUGGCGAACGCGUGAGUAUAACGCGAGUAACAUGCCCUUGUCUUUGGGAUAACUUCAGGAAACUGGGGCUAAUACCGGAGAGGAGCUCCUGAUGCAUGGUGGGGGUUGGAAAGUGUCGGCGGUGGGGGAUGGACUCGCGGCUUAUCAGCUUGUUGGUGGGGUAGUGGCUUACCAAGGCUUUGACGGGUAGCCGGCCUGAGAGGGUGACCGGCCACAUUGGGACUGAGAUACGGCCCAGACUGCUACGGGAGGCAGCAGUGGGGAAUAUUGCACAAUGGGCGGAAGCCUGAUGCAGCAACGCCGCGUGCGGGAUGCCGGCCUUCGGGCUGUAAACCGCUUUCGCCUGUGACGAAGCGUGAGUGACGGUAAUGGGUAAAGAAGCACCGGCUAACUACGUG